GCGCCGGUUGCGCGGGCUGCGGCGGGGCCUCCGGCUCGGGUUCGGGGCGGCGCAGCCGCUCGAUCGCAUCGUGCAGGGCGCCC
rnacentral:tRNA from 1 species